AUAGCGGAGGAAAAGAAACUAACAAGGAUUCCCCUAGUAACGGCGAGUGAAGAGGGAAGAGCCCAAGUUUGAAAGCUGGCGUCUUCGGCGUCCGCAUUGUAAACUCGAGAAGCGUUUUCCGCGCCGGACCAAGCUCAAGUCCCUUGGAAUAGGGCAUCAUAGAGGGUGAGAGUCCCGUACUUGGCUUGGAGUCCCCGGGGCUUUGUGAUACGCUCUCCAAGAGUCGAGUUGUUUGGGAAUGCAGCUCAAAAUGGGUGGUAAAUGCCAUCUAAGGCUAAAUAUCGAGGAGAGACCGAUAGCGAACAAGUACCGUGAGGGAAAGAUGAAAAGAACUUUGGAAAGAGAGUUAAACAGUACGUGAAAUUGCCGGAAGGGAAGGGUAGGGAGUCAGAUAUGCUGUGCGGAUUCAGCCUUGUCUUUGGACUUGGUGUAUUUUCGUAUUGGCAGGCCAGCAUCGGUUUGUGCCGCUGGAUAUAGGCUUGGGGAAUGUGGCUUUGUCUUCGGUCAAAGUGUUAUAGCCCCUUGCUGAGUACAGCGGCAUGGACCGAGGCACGCAGCGCACCCUCUGGGCGGGCCCUCGGGCACCUUUGCGCUUAGGAUGCUGGCUUAAUGGCUCUCUGCCACCCGUCUUGA
rnacentral:rRNA from 1 species